UGGGUAUCUUGACUGCAGGGCCAAGAAGCCGCUCAGUUUUGAGCUCCUGCAUUAGACUAGCCUCAGUGGGGUCAUUUCUACAUCUCAUACAUUGUGUAUGGCUCUUGGCAGCACUUGCACCAGGCUGCUGUUCUUGCUACAGACAUAUAGAGAAUUUUGGUUUGAUACCAUUUCCUCAGUGAAUUUUCCUGUGCUUCUGCAUACUGAAAGAAUUGUGGGAAGGCAGGUAGGGAGUUACCAGCACCGGUGUGAUUGAGCCUGCAACCUCACUGCAAGGUGGGUGAAUCACCAAUGCAAAAAACCCACAAUUCUUGGCCUCAAGUUUAUACAUAUGCACUUGUGCCAGCUGGUGAGAAGACCGUGUGGGUGGGUGGAUGGAAGAGUAGGAGCAACAGCUGAGAAAAAAAAGGGCUUCAACCAUACUUGAGGCAAGAGAGUUUACUGGAAGUUUUUGACCUCACUUACCCUCUCUGUGGUGGCCACAAUUGCCGCCAGGCAGCAGCUUCUCAUCCACUGCAGUUCUCAGCUAAAAAAUGGAGGAAUGUGUGAAUGCCAGUGUGCUUCAAGCUGGACGUGUAGGCAAGCAGGAUAAGAGAUGGGCGUACCAGCAAGAUUGUGAACCUUCAUGCACAGUAUGUCUAGGGAGCUGAGGAAACUGAGGAACCUGGGACCAGCUACUGGAAUUAAUCCAGAUAAUGCGGAGCUGCUGAUCAGUCACUGAAAUACAAUUAUAGUAUAUUUUGUAAGAAAUGACAUCUUAAUAGAAAAGUUUCCUCACCCCUCAAAAGAUGACUGCUGGGAUCCACUGCUGGAGUGAGAAGGGAAG